CGAUUUUCCAGGUGUGUCCGUCACCCCUUUCUUUGACUGGGAAAGGGAACUCCCUGACCCCUUGCGCUUCCCAGGUGAGGCAAUGCCUCGCCCUGCUUUGGCUCGCGCACAGUGCGCGCACCCACUGGCCUGCGCCCACUGUCUGGCACUCCCUAGUGAGAUGAUCCCGGUACCUCAGAUGGAAAUGCAGAAAUCACCCGUCUUCUGCGUCGCUCACGCUGGGAGCUGUAGACCGGAGCUGUUCCUAUUCGGCCAUCUUGGCUCCUCCCGAUUUUUUAAGCAGAAUUUUUCUUUUCUUAUUGUUGAGUUUUAAGUAUUCUUUGUAUAUUUUGGAGAACAGUCUUUUAACAGAUUUCUUUGUAGUCAAUUAGGACUGCCCAUUAAAGUGGCAGAAUAAGCACAGUGCCUGCUGCUAUGAUGUGAUGGGCCGUGGGAAACACUUUUCGCCUAAAAUCACCUCCUGCAAUGGCCUACUUAAGGCAUUUGAUUCACCUAUGUUAACAAAUUCAACCUUAGGAUUCCAAGACCACUUCCCAUCCUGCUGGGGUUUGGCUGGCUCAGAAAACUGGUGCACAGAUCUUCUUUGUUCCUCCAGCUGAACUCAAAUACAAACCUUCAUCCUGAUGAGAUAACGGGCAAUCUGUGUUUUGUCCCACUCCAUUGCUGUAUAUGCAAUCAAGGGGGCUUGUACGUCUCUAUCUUUUGCCAUGGGACAAAGUGCCUUCCUGGAGAAGUUGUUUUUCUCCUAUUGACACCAGGAUUGGCCUAAGGACUUGUGUUGGUCAAGGAAAUAGAUGGAGUUUCACCAUGUAGCCCAGGCUGGUCUUGAACUCCUGGGCUCAAACAAACCACCUGCCUCAGCCUACCAAUGUGCUGGGAUUAUAGGAGUGAGCCACCACACCUGGCGUUAUCUGAGCUUCUUAGUAUGUGCUCCAUCCAUGUAUCAUUCAGAGGUGGAACUCACAUUUCUUCCAAUUUAAGCUGCACCUCCUCAGUGAUGUGGCCCCCCUAAUAGUCCUCUACACAGUGACCCCUCCUCCUUUGGAAUCGUUAUUGUCAUUUGGAACCAUAGUAGCUUGUCUCCAAAGAUGGCCUUCCAGUAACUCAUGCUUCCUGAUGAUCAGGCCCUAAAUAGGUUGUCCUUGUGACUUCCAUCUUGACCCAUAGAAUGUGGUGGAAGUAGCAUUGGAUGACGUCCAAGGUUAGUUCAUAAAAAGCCUUGUGGAUUCUUCCUCAGCCUCUAGAAACACUUGCUCUUGGAGCGUAUGCUUUGAGGAAAUCCAAAUGUCAUAUGAGAUGCCUGAGACCACCUAUCUCAGACUAUUGUGGGAGAGACUACUGUGCUGUGAAGAAGUACAAAGUAGCCAUGUGAAGAUACCAUACGGAGAAAGACAGAUGCCUAGGUAGCCCCUAGCUGUGCCAGCCAUCCCAUCAGAAUCACCACACAUAAGAGUAAAGGAAUCAUUGUGGAUGUCCAGCCUAGUCAAGCCUGUAGAUGAUUCCAGUUCCAGUUGCCAUCUGUCAGUAACUGCCUGAGACCCAAGACAAGAACCACCCAGCUUAGCCCAGUAAAUCCACAGAAUCACGUGUUAUCAUGAUAAUAAAUUGUUUUUUUAAGCAACUAAGA
rnacentral:lncRNA from 10 species